rnacentral:lncRNA from 1 species
AUCAUGUCCCUGGUUAAUGGAGUGGAAUGUACACUCUAUUUCUUAAAUGAAUAAAGGAGAAAGGUGUUGAGAGAUGAGCUUUGACCUGUUGAUAUAAUCAUGUUUCUGAAGAUGAGAUCUGAGUCACCCCAGUUCAGCCUGGGUGCUGUCAGCCAUGUGCAUUCACCCAGUCUGUUGGGGGCAGUCAUGGAUAGCAUGAAGCUAUUCCAUUCUGGCAAGGUCAUCAUGAGUCGAUGAUUGAGAAA